CCUACGUGAGGCAGCAGUGAGGAAUAUUGGUCAAUGGGCGGAAGCCUGAACCAGCCAAGCCGCGUGAGGGAAGAAGGUACAGCGUAUCGUAAACCUCUUUUGUCAGGGAACAAAGGCGGGGACUAGUCCCCGGCUGAGGGUACCUGCAGAAAAAGCAUCGGCUAACUCCGUGCCAGCAGCCGCGGUAAUACGGAGGAUGCGAGCGUUAUCCGGAUUUAUUGGGUUUAAAGGGUGCGCGGGGGGCCUGUUAAGUCACCGGUAAAGGCCCGGGGAUAAAGCCCGGCGAGCCGUUGAAACUGGCUGGCUGGAGUUGGAGAGAAGUACGAGGAAUGCGCGGUGUAGCGGUGAAAUGCUUAGAUAUCGCGCAGAACACCGAUUGCGAAGGCAGCGUACCGGCUCCACACUGACGCUGAGGCACGAAAGCGUGGGUAUCGAACAGGAUUAGAUACCCUAGUAGUC
rnacentral:rRNA from 1 species